rnacentral:rRNA from 1 species
CAAAAACAUGUCCUUUAUGAUUUUAUUUAAGGUCUAACCUGCCCAAUGAUUUUAUUUAAUGGCCGCGGUAUUUUAACUGUGCUAAGGUAGCAUAAUCACUUGUCUUUUAAUUAAAGGCUAGUAUGAAUGGUUGGACGUAGUGAAAGCUUUCUUUAAUUUAAUUUAAGAAUUUAAUUUUUUAGUCAAAAAGCUAAAAUUUUAUUGAGGGACGAGAAGACCCUAUAGAUCUUUAUAUUUAUAUUAAUUAUACAUUUAUAGUUUAUAUCUUAUAUAAUUUUUAUAUUUAUUUGAUUGGGGCGAUUGUAGAAUUUUUAUAACUUCUAUUUAUAUAGUUCAUUAAUUAAUGUAUGAUUGAUCCAUAAUUUAUGAUUAUAAGAUUAAGUUACCUUAGGGAUAACAGCGUAAUUUCUUUGGAGAGUUCUUAUCGAUAAAGAAGUUUGCGACCUCGAUGUUGGAUUAAAAUUAAUUGUAGGUGUAGAAGUUUACAAAUUAGGUCUGUUCGACCUUUAAUUUUUUACAUGAUCUGAG